CGGAAUUACUGGGCGUAAAGCGCGCGUAGGCGGAUUGUUAAGUCAGGGGUGAAAUCCCGGGGCUCAACCCCGGAACUGCCUUUGAUACUGCCGAUCUUGAGUUCGGGAGAGGUGAGUGGAAUUCCGAGUGUAGAGGUGAAAUUCGUAGAUAUUCGGAGGAACACCAGUGGCGAAGGCGGCUCACUGGACUGAUACUGACGCUGAGGUGCGAAAGCGUGGGG
rnacentral:rRNA from 1 species